GACGAACGCUGGCGGCGUGCCUAAUACAUGCAAGUAGAACGCUGAAGGAGGAGCUUGCUUCUCUGGAUGAGUUGCGCACGGGUGAGUAACGCGUAGGUAACCUGCCUGUUAGCGGGGGAUAACUAUUCGAAACGCUAGCUCAUACCGCAUAAGAGUAGAUGUUGCAUGACAUUUGCUUAAAAAGUGCAAUUGUAUCACUACCAGAUGAUCCUGCCUAGUAUUAUGUAGUUGGUGGGGUAACGGCUCAACAAGGGGACGAUACAUAGUCGGACUGAGAGGGGGAUCGGGCAAACCGGGAAUGGGAAAAGGCCCAGACCUCUACGGGAGGGAGGAGUAGGGAAACUUCGGCAAAUGAGGGAAGGCCGAACGAGCAACGGCGCGGGAGUGAAGAAGGGUCUCGGAACGGAAAGAUCUGUUGUAAGAGAAGAAAGAGUGGGAGAGGGGAAAGUGCACACUGUGACGGUACCUUACCAGAAAGGGACGGCUAACUACGUG
rnacentral:rRNA from 1 species